rnacentral:rRNA from 1 species
AGUGAACGCUGGCGGUAGGCCUAACACAUGCAAGUCGAACGGCAGCACAGUAAGAGCUUGCUCUUACGGGUGGCGAGUGGCGGACGGGUGAGGAAUACAUCGGAAUCUACUUUUUCGUGGGGGAUAACGUAGGGAAACUUACGCUAAUACCGCAUACGACCUACGGGUGAAAGCAGGGGAUCUUCGGACCUUGCGCGAUUGAAUGAGCCGAUGUCGGAUUAGCUAGUUGGCGGGGUAAAGGCCCACCAAGGCGACGAUCCGUAGCUGGUCUGAGAGGAUGAUCAACCACACUGGAACUGAGACACGGUCCAGACUCCUACGGGAGGCAGCAGUGGGGAAUAUUGGACAAUGGGCGCAAGCCUGAUCCAGCCAUACCGCGUGGGUGAAGAAGGCCUUCGGGUUGUAAAGCCCUUUUGUUGGGAAAGAAAAGCAGCAGGUUAAUACCCCGCUGUUCUGACGGUACCCAAAGAAUAAGCACCGGCUAACUUCGU